AUCAUAUAGGGAGUGAUGCAUUUGCACAAACAUGUAGUUUUUGGCUCCUAUUUCAAAAAACUGAACAUAGUAAGGUGGAUUUUUGAAGGGGUCAAGGAAUCUUUUGGCCUCCUCAUCAUGCCGUAAAAAUCUUAAAGUAUCUUCAAUAUUUGUAAAUCUUGAAGGCAAGAUUUUUAUUUGAUUUAAGCAUGAACGAGCUUCAAACUUAUCAACAAUUUGAAUAACCAUCGGCUCACUUGAAUCUUCAGAUAUAGCGAAGUGUGUUCUUAAGAUUGCAUUUUUCUGACACAACCUUUUCCAAGAAUUCUGAAGCUUUUCCAAACUUAUUUCGGCGUCUAAACUAAAUAACACAUCAUUUUGAUAUAAAUUUUUCUGAUUCAUCGUUUCAAGAAGUAAACCACUUUGAAUCGGAGUUGCCGGAUAACAGUCUUCUGCGUCUUGAUCUGUUAAAUACUUGCUCAAUAGAGUAUUUAGUGUACCGAAUUCAUGCUUUAAAGAAGUCGAAUGGUUAGCAGAUGUCUCACAUAAUAAUUGUAAGAUUCUAUAAAAUGUAGGCUUCUCCAUUAAUAAACCAAUAUCUAGUUUGCCAAUUCCAGCUUCCGAAACUUUAGAAGCAAGCCAAAUUAAGUCAAUACUGUCAAUUCCAAACUCGUGAACAAAAGUAUCUCUUUCAAAAUCGAGUUUCGUUAUUAUAACUUUAGGAGAUAAGAUGGUGAUCAACUUUUUCAAAACAUCAUUCCAAACAUUUGGUAUAUAUUGUUUCACUUCUGGUUGAUUUGGCAUGAGAACAUUUGGUCUCGAUGAGAUUUUAGCGUUAGAAGUUUCUAGUAAAGAAGACAAAUAACAAUCGUAUGAAUCUAAUAAGCCGAUAAUUUCUGUUUGCCCAAUGUACUUGAAAUUCGAACUAAGAUGUAGGUUCAUAGUACCGUCAACAUCUUCCUCUAUUUCAAGGGCCAAAGGAUAACCUGUGUCUGUGCUUUCAGAGCUAAAAGACCAAGGGAAUUCACAUUGCUUUAUUACGGAAGGGUGAAGGUUAUAAGUGAACAAAACGUUAAACAAUUCACUACGACGUAGCCAUUUCUUUAUUUCACGAAGAGAGGUUUGAUGAUAUGGUAUCAUAGAGGCUAACGUCAGUUGACAACGCCUAACUAAACAAUCGAAGGACUCAUCCUUUUCUAAAAACAGUGGAAAUGGAAUAGUGUUGAAUAAAGGCCCCAUUACCUCUAAACAAUCCAUUGAUAUUUCAGAACGUCCAGAAACAACAAUUCCCACGCAAUUAAUAGCGCCGAUUGAAUUAAGAAAGCAUAUCCACGAGGUUAAUAAUGCGCUAUUCACAGAAGCUUUUAAUACCGACCUACAAAUUGUUGAGAGUUUGGCAGAAGAAAUUGAUAGCUUGUGACCAAGAGUAAUGGCCAUAUCAAGCUUUCCUUGGAAAAUCGGGACGUAGAUAUUCUUACUCCUAAAUAAAUUCAACCAGUAUUCUUUAGUGUCUUUUUUCAGGGAAGUAUUGAUCAACAGUUGUCUAACUAUUUUACUAUAACGAGGUCUGGGUGCAAGAGUUUUUCUUGAGCACAAUCUCGCAAGAUCAUUGAGCAAAAGAUCUAAAGACCAACCAUCGUAAAUUCCAUGGAAUAAAGUAACCGUCACCAAAAAGAAACCUUUUUCACAUUUCAAAGAAUAUCGAACUGUUUUUAUUAAAGAGUCAUUGUUCAGUACAUCUACUUCGGCUAUAAAAUCGGACUUCCAAACAACCUGAAAGUAUUCCCCAUCUGAUUUUAAAAAAGAUGACCGCAGUACCUCAUACUGUUUCCUUAAAAGCUUGAAAUUGUUAAUAAACUGAUCAGCUUGUUCGCGCUUUUCGAAAAGAAAAAAAAAAGAGUUAUAAUAAUUUUCAUUAUUACUCCUUUCAAGUUCAAACAACAAUCCCUCGACAAGUGGUAAACAAGGGUUAAUAAGUUCAAUGUACUGAUGGAAUGGAAAUUGGGAACAACUGGGUAGCUUAAUAAUUGAGUUUACCUUUAUCGAGUCUUCUAGUUCCUCGUUAGUUUGGGUAUUUAAAGCAAAUCCUAAAUUUGAAAUAGUACUGGAAGUUAAAAUCAAUGAAGGGUUAGCAUUAUCAUAUCCUGAUUUUCGCAACAGGCCUGAUAAAGCCACAGCUGAUAUGGAGUCCAGUCCUAACUCAAAAACAGACGUUUGAGGUGAGAUAUCAGUAACCUUAACAUCAGAAAAAUCAGCAAUUAUUUUCAACAAUUUAGGUUCGACAACAUUGGAUCCUUCGUUGUCGUUUUCCUCUCUAGCUGGAGCAAAAGAGGAAAGUUGCCCUAACGAUAACCGUGAAAACUCCUCAAUGACCUUCUUUUUAUCAAAUUUAUUAGUUGGUGUCAACGGAACCGAGCUAAUAAAAACAUAAAAACUUGGCACCAUAUAUUUGGCCAAACUCGCUUUACAUGCACUGUUUAUAAAUCCAAUUAAGGAAGGAUCUUUAUGGUCGUGAACAAUCAAAUGAGAAGCAGAUAUGCCCUUGACAUGGAUAAAAGCAACCAACUGCUGCUUUCGAAGUACUGGAUGAACGACAGCAAGAGUAUACACUCCAAGUAUCUUUUCGGAGGAACUUUUUAUAACAGCAUUAAUUUCUCCAAUCUCGAUGCGCUGGCCACGUAGUUUGAUUUGAUCGUCCGUCCUACCGCAGAAUUCUAAAGAGUUAUUAUCUUUUAACAACCUUCCCAAGUCCCCAGUAUGAUAAAUACGAUCAUUGAAUCUUCUAUCGAAAUAAAACUUCGCAUCAGUCUGUUCAGGCAAAUUGAGAUAACCUUUGGCAACUUGAUUACCUCCCAUACAAAUUUCCCCUAAACCUCCUAACAAUACAGGUACUUUUGUUUCUUUAGAAAGUAUGUAAGUACUACAGUUUGGAAAAGGUGGUCCAAUAUUUGAGACUUUUGCGUUUUUUGGUACUUUUCUGAACGCGCUAGCUCCGAUUGUAAGCUCUGUCGGGCCCCAAAAGUUGUACAAAACUCUAGUAUCGCCCCAAAUAUUAAGCAAUUCUUGCUUAAUUUGUUCGCCUCCUGUAAUAAAUACACGAAGAAGGGGUGCAGUUUUCGGAGUUAGGAUGGAUGCAAGUGACGGUGUUAAAUCAACAUGAGUAAUUUUGAGAGCACUAAUGGCAGUAGGAAGAUCCUGUAGAAUAAGGCUUUGUGGUGCGGCUACCAAAGUAAUCCCAGUACUCCAACUAAAAUAUUGUUCAAGAACGCUAACGUCAAAAUGAAAUGAAGCGAAAGCUAAGAAUCGAGAGUUUGUAUCCCAUUCACCUGCAAAUUGGUCUUGAAAAGCCAGCAUGCACUGAACAACAUUGUGAUGAGUCAAACAACAACCCUUGGGUUUUCCAGUACUUCCAGAAGUAUACAAAACGUAUGCUAAAUUUGAAUCUUCAAAAUCUUUAGUAUAUGGAUUUUCAAUGUUGUUGGAAUAAUUUCCAGGAUCAGAAGCAUCCAAGAUUGUUACGUUGAUAGAAGCAUUUAACAAUUUUGUGUAAAGCUCACCAGUUGACAUUACUAAUACGGCUGUCGAAUCAGUUACAAUGUAACGUAUUCUUUCAGUAGGCGCUGAUACAUCUAGAGCCAAAAAGCAACAUCCGGCUUUAAGAAUAGCCAACAUUGAUAUAAAGGCCUCGAUGCAUUUGUCAAAAUAAACAGCAAUGAUUGAGCCCACUCGAAACCCAUAGCUUUUUAAAUUGUGAGCAAGUUUAUUGGCACGUUCAUUCAAUUCCGAAUAUGUUAAACGAAUUAACUGAACCGAAUCUUGAUUAAUGUCAAGAGCAAACUCUAAAGCACAGCUAUUUGGUGAUUUCUGCGCAAAAUAUUCGACAAACUGAUGUAAAUAUUUUAUCUCAGUAGGAUAAUCUCCAACUAUAGCAGGUUUGAUAGAUAAUAAUUGCGUUGGCAGAGAAUUUUCCAAAAUUUCAAUUUGUUGUAAAGGGUUGUUAAAUAUGGUGGUUAAUAUGGCGUUAAAUUGAUCCAAAAUUAAUGAUGCGUGGGCUUGAGGAAUAUAAUUGACAGCUGAGUUA